GGUAAAAUGGCUGAGUAGAGGUAUUGGACUGUAAAUCCAAAAACAGGGGUUAAGUCCCCUUUUUACCA
rnacentral:tRNA from 1 species